rnacentral:ncRNA from 2 species
GCGAAAGACACGGGGUGCCCCGCCGGGGGCUGAGAACACACCCGAGAACCUGAUCUCGUUAGCACGAGCGGAGGAAUGUCGCGAUGAACAGUC